rnacentral:misc_RNA from 1 species
AGAAAAUAAAGACAAUAUAAAAACUCCUUAUGGAGAAACCUUAGAUAUUUUGGAUAUGAAAAGAUUAAAUAGAUCACUAAAAUCAGAGAACAAUGGAGACAAAUAUAUCGCUACUAAUUCGAUUUUGUUUAUAUUAAGGGGUCAGAUUGCAUUAGGUAUGGCCACAUAGUAACUCAAUGUACAAGUACGCUGUGAAAAUUGUGUGGAAGGAGACGAAUCUUCUAAGUGCAGCAGCUCGAUCAUAAAAUGUGUACCUUCCAAUGAUAUUCUCAAGAUUCAAGUAAAUCAAUCGAUGAAAUUUAAUGAAAGUUGAAAAGUCAAUUAUCUUCUUGGUUUCUUAUAAAUGACUAUUGGACCUAAGAAUAUGUAUAAUAUAAAAAUAACUUUUGAUUAUUAUAGCAAGAAGCAAAGAGGAAAUACCAAGUUCUAAUUAGACGCAUAGACUGUUAAGUUCAAUAUGUUCUUUACUGUUAUUGUUUCAUAAAUUUGAUUGAGCUUUUAUUGAUAGCUUACAAAUGAAGAAAUUCGCUUCAAUUGACAUUAAAUAGUCGUUGGAGAGAACAUAUGUUAACAGUAUCGGUAAAUAACGAAGGAGAAGGAGGCGUUAUAAAUUAAGAGGCUAUUGACAAAAUCGGUUUAUUAGUCCACACACAUGAGAAAACUAUGCGCUUUGUUAAUCGCUCUGGUAUUACCAGAGGGAUUGUUAACGGAAAACAUCAGCUGUAAUGAAGAGGAUGUGCACAGUAGAAUCGUCGGUGGAGCUGAGACAGAUGCAGAUCUGUUUCCUUUCUACACAGCCCUUGUAAUGGCUUAUCAACUCAAAUCAAAUUCAGGAAAAUUACACGUUGUUUGUGGGGCUUCUUUAGUCACAUCGAAUAAACUUUUAACUGCAGCUCAUUGCUACGAAGAUGGGAAGAAGAAACGUCACAAUUGGAUGAGUCAGUUAUCCGCAGUAUUCCAAAUGACAGAAAGAUGCACCCGUGAUUUUAAAAGUUCUUCUCCGAUAAUACAUGUCCAGGUGCAUCCUCAGUACAAUAAUGUAACUUUUAAUAACGACAUUGCCGUCGCUACUCUCCAGGAUCACGUCAUCUUCAAACCCAUCUGCCUUGCACUCCCAAAUGACAAUGGGCCUUCACAACUGGCCCUCAUUCUCGGUUUUGGCAAGACCGAAGAAAAAGGCCAAAAUUCUUCUCCAUGCAAACUCAACGUAGCAGCCAUCAAGAUUUACUCUAGAAAGGAGUGCAUGAAAACAAAUAUUGCAAGAAGCGUCGAACGAGUUUCACGCGUAUUAUGUGGUGGAGUUGAGUCUGGGGCACAAGACGGUUGCCACGGCGACAGUGGUGGUCCUUUGAUAAGGAUGUUAAAUAAUCGCUAUGUCCUGCAAGGAAUCUCAUCUACGGGGAUAGGUUGUGGCCUGGAAAACACUCCUGGCGUGUACACCGAUGUUUCCGCUCACAGGAAAUGGAUUGAUCAAAACCUCCAACGAGUUAUAAGGCCACCACGCCCCGCCAAAUCGCCAAAGACUUCGACUAGUAGACAGCCGCAUAGUAACAUUGAUAAGCACGGUAGCAGUGCUGGAACACACUUGCCCAACAGUCGUAAAAAGGGGAUAUCUUUGAGCGAUACACAAACGCUUCUGGGGAUUAGUGGACUGCGGGGGAACGGGAGCAGUGGACAUCAGUAUAGUAGUAGUGGUGGACCAGGGCUGCCCUGGAUGCAUUCUCAGCGUGGUAGCAGAGGUGGAAUGUGAAUGUCCGAAAGUGGUUGCAAAGGGCUGCCCGGGACAGUGGGUAGCAGAAAAGUAACGGUGGUAUUUCGACGUAUUGUCUGACAGCCUCUCUAAGCAGGUGGAGUUAAGAUGGAGGAACUUACUUUGUACAAUAAUUCUUUUAUUGUUUUACAUUUUAAGUGUAAAAUUAAAAACAUUAAUAUAAUAUAUUAUAUUUUA